rnacentral:rRNA from 1 species
GCAAGUCGAACGAAGUAGUAAUACUUAGUGGCAGACGGGUGAGUAACAUGUAGGUAUCUGCCCUUUGGCCUGGAAUAACACGAGGAAACUUGUGCUAAUACCGGAUAAGUCUUUACGGAGAAAGCUUUAUGCACCAUUGGAUGAGCCUGCACUUGAUUAGUUUGUUGGUGGGGUAAUGGCCUACCAAGACUGUGAUCAAUAGCUGAUUUGAGAGGAUGAUCAGCCACAUUGGGACUGAGACACGGCCCAAACUCCUACGGGAGGCAGCAGUGGGGAAUCUUGCACAAUGGAGGAAACUCUGAUGCAGCGAUGCCGCGUGAGUGAAGAAGGCCUUUGGGUUGUAAAGCUCUUUCGUCGGGGAAGAAAAUGACUGUACCCGAAUAAGAAGGUCCGGCUAACUUCGUGCCAGCAGCCGCGGUAAUACGAAGGGACCUAGCGUAGUUCGGAAUUACUGGGCUUAAAGAGUUCGUAGGUGGUUGAAAAAGUUGGUGGUGAAAUCCCAGAGCUUAACUCUGGAACUGCCAUCAAAACUUUUCAGCUAGAGUAUGAUAGAGGAAAGCAGAAUUUCUAGUGUAGAGGUGAAAUUCGUAGAUAUUAGAAAGAAUACCGAUUGCGAAGGCAGCUUUCUGGAUCAUUACUGACACUGAGGAACGAAAGCAUGGGUAGCGAAGAGGAUUAGAUACCCUCGUAGUCCAUGCCGUAAACGAUGUGUGUUAGACGUUGGAAAUUUAUUUUCAGUGUCGCAGCGAAAGCGAUAAACACACCGCCUGGGGAGUACGACCGCAAGGUUAAAACUCAAAUGAAUU